GACAGAGGAGCCAAGCGUUGUCCGGAUUGACUGGGCGUAAAGCGCACGCAGGCGGAUGCGCGCGUGGGGUGUGAAAUCUGGCCGCUUAACGGCCAGGCGCCAUCCCAUACGGCGCGUCUGGAGUGAUGCAGAGGUCGAUGGAAUUGCCGGUGUAGUGGUGAAAUGCGCAGAUAUCGGGAGGAACACCGGUGGCGAAGGCGGGUCUCUGGGCCGAAAUUGACGCUGAGGAGCGAAAGCGUGGGGAGCGAACAGG
rnacentral:rRNA from 1 species